rnacentral:SRP_RNA from 1 species
GCCGGGUGUGGUGGUGCACGCCUGUAAUCCCAGCUACUCAGGAGGCUGAGGCAGGAGAAUCGCUUGAAACCGGAAGGUGGAGCUUGCAGUGAGCUGAGAUCGCGCCACUGCACUCCAGUCUGGGUGACAGAGUGACACUCUGUCUCAA